ACAACAUCUGAACCUACGGUCUGCCGAGCAAUAUCCCCCACUCGGUGGAAGAUCGUCCUUUUCUCGU
rnacentral:pre_miRNA from 1 species